AUUAGUUUGUUGCUUAUUUAAUAGGGAUCUUGAAAACUUGUUUAUAACUGUUUACAUACAAUUUUUUCAACAAUUCUGAUUGCCUAAGGCUACAGCAUGUUCACUGUGCUUAUGCGCAGCGUAUAACCCCCAUGUGGCCUCAGGCAAAUGGAGUGGUUAAAAGAUUUAUGCACUGUGUGGAUAAACAAAAUCUGGGAGAAUUUGCCUGAGGCUUUGCCUGGAUUGGCGAAAUGGUGUGAUUUUAAAACGUGAGGAUUAGUACCUGGCAUUUCUCAUAAAGGCUGAUUUGAUGAGGAAAAACCUGUGCUGGAGUGCUGGUUUUAUAAGAAACCCCAUUGAGGUGUGGUAUGUGCAAAGCACAGUUACCAAGUAUCGUCAUAUAAAAACAACCCUCUCUCCUGGAUGUAACUGAAGUAAAGAAAUGCCUCAAAGAUGUUCAAGAAUUUCCCCAACCUAUCAGUGCGAAGAACAGAGAGAUGAGAAUUUGGGAAAUCUCUUUUUCUGAUGGAGGAAAUGAAGACAGGACUGCCAAAACACCCGGCAGGUUCUGAGCUGGUCCUGAGCUUCGUGAAGGGUUCCCUGGAGCCCAGAAUCACAGGGAAGGCUUCCACAGAGGUGGGGAUUCUACCUGCAGCAUUUCCCACAAAACUCUAGUCAGGGAGAGGGGAAAAAAAGAGUAUCCAGAGGGUCUGGAAAGCUUUGCACACUCUUUUAAACUGCAUACGAGGGGUUCUACAUAAUUAUGAUUCUGCUAGGAGAGUGACUGAUUCUCUUUCAGUAUCACAGAAUCACAGGGGUUGGAAUGGGACCUCUGGAGAUCGAGUCCAACCCCGUGCUAAAGCAGCUUCCCUACAGCAGGUCGCACAGAAAAGCAUCCAGACGGGUCUUGAAUUCAUCUUCAGGGAAGGAGGCUCUGACUGGCUCAGCCUGAAGAGACCUAAAGAUGUCGGCUCGGCUUUGAACGCAAGACAGCAGGGGAAUUCUCAGCACUCAGAUCAUGCUACUUUGCCAAAUUCUCGUUCAUAAUCCAGAAAAAACAAUCUAAUGAAGACAGCCAGUGCAUGGAAAUGUCUCCUAUCCAUCUCUCAGAACACCUCAUGUCCUCACUCUCAUCUUUUCAGUUUUACACAUAAGGCAUGAGAACCAGCGGCAGUAUUUUGCUGUUGGAUUCCUCAGGGCUGUGAAUGGAGAUGUCACUUCCAUCUCUUGCUGCCGUCCCUUGUUGUCACAGAAUAUCCCGAGUUGGAAGGUACCCAGCAGGAUCAUCGAGUCCAACUCCUGGCUCCACGUAGGACCGCCCAAAAUCCAGUUAUAUUUCCCUUUCACUGUCAUUACAGAAGCAUGCUCUCAUUUUUGUGCCCAAACCAGCUGGUGGUCAGGGUCCUUGCUUGUCAGGUGCUCUUCCACCUGUAGGCAUCUAUUCCAAAUCCACUGUUGUUUGCUUCUCUGCUUUGAGACACUUGUGUGAAUUAGCUCACCUCACAGAAUAAGCCAGAGCAGGGCUGUCUUGCUGUAUUAUUACCACUCUGGUAAAUUUGGAGCUGACUGUAAACAAGAGGGAUGACUUGUAAAUUUCCUGCAAGAUUGUUCCUACUGCCAAUACCUGCGGAAUGUCUCUGGAAAAAAAGCUUUGACCAACAACUGCUUUUCAAGUAUUUUUAUGUCUGUCAGUUAAUCAAUUAUUAGGCUAUUUUAUUUGGAACAUUUCUCUCUCUGUCUCUCUCUCUCUCUUUAUUUAUUUAUUUUGGUAAAUCAUGUUACAUUAAAGCACGCAGUUUAUCAAUGUCCAUGUGUUUUUCAUCAUUACCUCUUCGCAUUUCAUUACCUCUUUUACCUCACUUAGGACUUUGUCUAAAAACAAAUCCAGAUUUAUUUGAUAUGAUGUUCUUUUUAUUUUUCUUUCCCCCUAUAAAAAG
ensembl:lncRNA